CGAACGGUAGUCCCGAUUUAUCGGGAUGAGAGUGGCGCACGGGUGAGUAACACGUAUGCAACCUACCUACAACAGGGGGAUAGCCCGGAGAAAUUCGGAUUAAUACCGCAUAAUACAGGGAGUCCGCAUGGACAUAUUUGUUAAAGAGUUAUCGGUUGUAGAUGGGCAUGCGCAACAUUAGGUAGUUGGUGAGGUAACGGCUCACCAAGCCUUCGAUGUUUAGGGGAACUGAGAGGUUUAUCCCCCACACUGGAACUGAGACACGGUCCAGACUCCUACGGGAGGCAGCAGUGAGGAAUAUUGGUCAAUGGACGGAAGUCUGAACCAGCCAAGUCGCGUGAAGGAUGACGGUGCUCUGCAUUGUAAACUUCUUUUAUGUAGGAAUAAAACGGGGGACGUGUCCCCUUUUGCAGGUACUACACGAAUAAGGAUCGGCUAACUCCGUGCCAGCAGCCGCGGUAAUACGGAGGAUUCGAGCGUUAUCCGGAUUUAUUGGGUUUAAAGGGUGCGUAGGCGGUUUCUUAAGUCUGUGGUGAAAUUUUGCGGCUCAACCGUAAGCGUGCCAUGGAAACUGGGGGGAC
rnacentral:rRNA from 1 species